rnacentral:misc_RNA from 1 species
GAUGAAGAACGUAGCGAAAUGCGAUAAGUAAUGUGAAUUGCAGAAUUCAGUGAAUCAUCGAAUCUUUGAACGCACAUUGCGCCCGCCAGUAUUCUGGCGGGCAUGCCUGUUCGAGCGUCAUUACAACCCUCAGGCCCCCGGGCCUGGCGUUGGGGAUCGGCGGAAGCCCCCUGCGGGCACAACGCCGUCCCCCAAAUACAGUGGCGGUCCCGCCGCAGCUUCCAUUGCGUAGUAGCUAACACCUCGCAACUGGAGAGCGGCGCGGCCACGCCGUAAAACACCCAACUUCUGAAUGUUGACCUCGAAUCAGGUAGGAAUAUCCGCUGAACUUAAGCAUAUCAAUAAGCGGAGGA